AGAGUUUGAUCCUGGCUCAGGAUGAACGCUGGCGGCGUGCCUAACACAUGCAAGUCGAACGGACUUAUAAUGAAACCUAGUGAAUUAUAAGUUAGUGGCGGACGGGUGAGUAACGCGUGGAAAACCUGCCGUAUACUGGGGGAUAACACUUAGAAAUAGGUGCUAAUACCGCAUAAGCGCACAGCUUCGCAUGAAGCAGUGUGAAAAACUCCGGUGGUAUACGAUGGUUCCGCGUCUGAUUAGCUAGUUGGUGAGGUAAAAGCCCACCAAGGCGACGAUCAGUAGCCGGCCUGAGAGGGUGAACGGCCACAUUGGGACUGAGACACGGCCCAGACUCCUACGGGAGGCAGCAGUGGGGGAUAUUGCACAAUGGGGGAAACCCUGAUGCAGCGACGCCGCGUGAGUGAAGAAGUAUUUCGGUACGUAAAGCUCUAUCAGCAGGGAAGAAAAAAAGUCCACAGGACUUUGGACGGUACCUGACUAAGAAGCCCCGGCUAACUACGUGCCAGCAGCCGCGGUAAUACGUAGGGGGCAAGCGUUAUCCGGAUUUACUGGGUGUAAAGGGAGCGUAGACGGCUGUGCAAGUCUGAAGUGAAAUGCCGGGGCCCAACCCCGGAACUGCUUUGGAAACUGUACAGCUAGAGUGCAGGAGGGGUGAGCGGAAUUCCUAGUGUAGCGGUGAAAUGCGUAGAUAUUAGGAGGAACACCGGCGGCGAAGGCGGCCUGCUGGACCGCGACUGACGUUGAGGCUCGAAAGCGUGGGGAGCCAACAAAAGUAGAUACCCUGGUAGUCCACGCCGUAAACGAUCACUACAAGGUGUCGGGGUCACGACAGUGCCCCCGUGGCCGGGCGCAAACGCAAUAAAUAGUCCGCCUGGGGAGUACGUCCGCAAGGAUGAAACUCAAAGGAAUUGACGGGGACCCGCACAAGCGGUGGCGCAUGUGGUUUAAUUCGGAGCAACGGGAAGCACCUUCCCAGGUCUUGACAUCUUUUGACAAUCCUAGAGAUAGGACUUUCCCUUCGGGGACAAAAUCACAGGUGGUGCAUGGUUGUCGUCAGCUCGUGUCGUGAGAUGUUGGGUUAAGUCCCGCAACGAGCGCAACCCUUAUUGUUAGUUGCCAGCAUUAAGUUGGGCACUCUAGCAAGACUGCCGGUGACAAACCGGAGGAAGGUGGGGAUGACGUCAAAUCAUCAUGCCCCUUAUGACCUGGGCUACACACGUGCUACAAUGGACGGUACAACGAGUCGCAAGCUCGCGAGAGUAAGCUAAUCUCUUAAAGCCGUUCUCAGUUCGGACUGUAGGCUGCAACUCGCCUACACGAAGUCGGAAUCGCUAGUAAUCGCGGAUCAGCAUGCCGCGGUGAAUAGGUUCCCGGGCCUUGCACUCACCGCCCGUCA
rnacentral:rRNA from 1 species